rnacentral:tRNA from 1 species
GCGGGGAUAGCUCAGUUGGGAGAGCGUCAGACUGAAAAUCUGAAGGUCGCGUGUUGUUCGAUCCACGCUCACCGCA